CGCGGCCUAUCAGCUUGUUGGUGAGGUAACGGCUCACCAAGGCAUCGACGGGUAGCUGGUCUGAGAGGACGAUCAGCCACACUGGGACUGAGACACGGCCCAGACUCCUGCGGGAGGCAGCAGUGGGGAAUCUUGCGCAAUGGGCGAAAGCCUGACGCAGCAACGCCGCGUGGGGGAUGAAGGCUCUCGGGUUGUAAACCCCUUUCAGCAGGGACGAAAUUGACGGUACCUGCAGAAGAAGCCCCGGCCAACUGCGUGCCAGCAGCCGCGGUGACACGUAGGGGGCGAGCGUUGUCCGGAAUUAUUGGGCGUAAAGAGCUCGUAGGCGGUUUAGUAAGUCAGAUGUGAAAGGUUGGGGCUCAACCCUAAGACUGCAUCCGAUACUGCUAUGACUAGAGUCCGGUAGAGGAGUGUGGAAUUCCUGGUGUAGCGGUGAAAUGCGCAGAUAUCAGGAGGAACACCAGCGGCGAAGGCGGCACUCUGGGCCGGUACUGACGCUGAGGAGCGAAAGCAUGGGGAGCAAACAGGAUUAGAUACCCUGGUAGUCCAUGCCGUAAACGUUGGGCACUAGGUAUGGGAUCAUAUCAACGGAUUCCGUGCCGUAACUAACGCAUUAAGUGCCCCGCCUGGGGAGUACAAUCUCGAC
rnacentral:rRNA from 1 species